rnacentral:rRNA from 1 species
AUGGAUCUGGAGAGCAGCGAGCUCGCUUCUUUCAACAGGAAAAGAGGUGGAGACACCAACGAGGCAGAGGAGCCCAUCAUGGCGAUAGCGGCAGCGGCCGAACAGAUUUUGAUUGCGGCGCCUCCAGAUCCAUCCGCAAUGACGUCCGUCUCCAUCUGCCUGGAUCAGAGGUAUGUUAUAAUCUGGCAUCCUCUUUUGUCUUCCUUUCCAUCUCCUCGUAUACACUAUGGAUCUCAAACUCAGCGACCUAGCUUCUUUCAACAGUUAAAUAGGUGGAGACACCACCGAGGCAGAGGAUUCCAUCAGCGCCGGGGUGAGAUGCGGAUGGGAGACGAGGGGCGGCUGAUAAGACAGAACAGAGGGGAGUCAGAUGCGCUAGGACCCACAAGUACUAGCAUACAGGGCUAUACCUAG